AUUGAACGCUGGCGGCAUGCUUUACACAUGCAAGUCGAACGGUAACAGGCCGCAAGGUGCUGACGAGUGGCGAACGGGUGAGUAAUGCAUCGGAACGUGCCCAGUCGUGGGGGAUAACGCAGCGAAAGCUGUGCUAAUACCGCAUACGAUCUAUGGAUGAAAGCGGGGGACCGUAAGGCCUCGCGCGAUUGGAGCGGCCGAUGUCAGAUUAGGUAGUUGGUGGGGUGAAGGCCCACCAAGCCAAAGAUCUGUAGCUGGUCUGAGAGACGACCAGCCACACUGGGACUGAGACACGGCCCAGACUCCUACGGGAGGCAGCAGUGGGGAAUUUUGGACAAUGGGCGCAAGCCUGAUCCAGCAAUGCCGCGUGCAGGAAGAAGGCCUUCGGGUUGUAAACUGCUUUUGUACGGAACGAAACGGUCUGGGUUAAUACCCUGGGCUAAUGACGGUACCGUAAGAAUAAGCACCGGCUAACUACGUGCCAGCCGCCGCGGUAA
rnacentral:rRNA from 1 species